rnacentral:tRNA from 1 species
GCAUCGGUCGCCUGUCGGUAAAGGCUGGCAGUCUGUAAAACUGUCGCGCUUCCUGCGCUGUGAAGGUUCAAAUCCUUCCCGAUGCA